rnacentral:rRNA from 1 species
AUUGAACGUUGGCGGCAGGCCUAAUACAUGCAAGUCGAACGGCAGCACAGAGAGCUUGCUCUUGGGUGGCGAGUGGCGGACGGGUGAGUAACGCGUAGGAAUCUACCCAGUAGCGGGGGAUAGCCCGGGGAAACUCGGAUUAAUACCGCAUACGCCCCACGGGGGAAAGGCCGGGAUCUUCGGACCGGUCACUAUUGGAGGAGCCUGCGUUGGAUUAGCUUGUUGGUGGGGUAAAGGCCUACCAAGGCUACGAUCCAUAGCUGGUCUGAGAGGACGAUCAGCCACACUGGAACUGAGACACGGUCCAGACUCCUACGGGAGGCAGCAGUAGGGAAUAUUGUGCAAUGGGCGAAAGCCUGACACAGCCAUGCCGCGUGUGUGAAGAAGGCCCUAGGGUUGUAAACUGCUUUUGUACGGGAAGAAACACCCCCUCGUGAGGGGGCUUGACGGUACCGUAAGAAUAAGGAUCGGCUAACUCCGUGCCAGCAGCCGC